GGGCCUGUAGCUCAGUUGGUUAGAGCAGAGGACUCAUAAUCCUUUGGUCCACGGUUCAAAUCCGUGCGGGCCCA
rnacentral:tRNA from 1 species